GGUCAUGCUAGAAAGAGCAUAUGGUGGAUGCCUUGGCACUAAGAGCCGAUGAAAGACGCGAUAAGCUGCGAAAAGCUUCGGGGAGGGGCAAAUACCCUUUGAUCCGGAGGUGUCUGAAUGGGGAAACCCGCAUGAGGAGCCCUCAUGCAUCCCUGCGCCAAUCCAUAACGCAGGGAGGGGAACCCGGCGAACUGAAACAUCUAAGUAGCCGGAGGAAGAGAAAACAACAAGUGAUUCCGUAAGUAGCGGCGAGCGAACACGGAGGAGCCCAAACCGGGGCGCGUGCGCCCCGGGGUUCGGACCGCGGAAGUGAUUCGGGAAGGCUAGCAGAACGGCUUUGGGAAAGCCGGCCAGAGAGGGUGAAAGCCCCGUAAGCGAAAGCCUGACAGACACGGCGGUAUCCAGAGUACCACGAGACACGAGAAACCUUGUGGGAAGAGGCGGGGACCACCCCGCAAGGCUAAAUACUCCUUAGUGACCGAUAGCGCAUAGUACUGUGAAGGAACGGUGAAAAGAACCCCGGGAGGGGAGUGAAAGAGAACCUGAAACCAUAUGUUUACAAGCUGUGGAAGGGCCUUACGUGCCCAACCGCGUACUUUUUGUAGAACGGUCCGGCGAGUUACGCCGGCUGGCAAGGUUAAGGGCUAAAGGCCCGGAGCCGAAGGGAAACCAAGUCUGAAUAGGGCGAAGGAGUCAGCCGGAGUAGACCCGAAACCGGGUGAUCUAUCCAUGUCCAGGUUGAAGUUGCCGUAAAAGGCAAUGGAGGACCGAACCCACAUCCGUUGAAAAGGGUGGGGAUGAGGUGUGGAUAGGGGAGAAAUUCCAAUCGAACCCGGAGAUAGCUGGUUCUCCUCGAAAUAGCUUUAGGGCUAGCCUCAUACGAGUCUUGCGGAGGUAGAGCACUGAAUUUCCUAGGGGGCGUCAAAGCUUACCGAAGAAUAUCAAACUCCGAAUGCCGCGUAGAUGAUGUAUGGGAGUCAGACUGCACGAGAUAAGUUGGGCAGUCGAAAGGGAAAGAGCCCAGACCUGCGGCUAAGGCCCCAAAAUGUGUGUUAAGUGGAAAAGGAUGUGGGAUUUCGAAGACAACUAGGAUGUUGGCUCAGAAGCAGCCAUGCAUUCAAAGAGUGCGUAAUAGCUCACUAGUCGAGAGGUCCCGCGCCGAAAAUGUCCGGGGCUGAAACACACUGCCGAAGCCCGGGGAUGUACCAAGUACAUCGGUAGAGGAGCAUUGGAUGCGGGAGGAAGCGGCACCGGAAGGAGCCGUGGACCGCAUCGAAGAGAGAAUGCCGGAAUGAGUAGCGAGAGGAAGGUGGGAAUCCUUCCGGCCGAAUAUCCAAGGUUUCCAGAGUAAAGCUGAUCUGCUCUGGGUAAGUCGGGGCCUAAGGCGAGGGCGGGAGCCGUAGCCGAUGGACAACAGGUUGAGAUUCCUGUACCGCGAUAUGACAGAACUGUGGGGACACGCGUGGAAAGCAUAAGCCGGGAAUGGAAAGACCGGCGCAAGCGGGGCAGGGGCUGCAUAGGCAAAUCCGUGCAGCGUAACCCGAAGCCGUGACGCGUACCGAACUGCAAGUAGGGAAGUAUGCGAGCCAUGCGUCAAGAAAAGCCGCUAUCGCUCAUAUCGCGCCCGUACCGCAAACCGACACAGGUAGAUGAGGAGAGAAUCCUAAGGCCGACGGGAGAAGCAUUGUCAAGGAACUCGGCAAAAUGACUCCGUAACUUCGGGAGAAGGAGUGCCAUAGAGAUAUGGCCGCAGAGAAUUGGCCCAAGCAACUGUUUAGCAAAAACACAGGUCUAUGCGAAGCCGCAAGGCGAGGUAUAUGGGCUGACGCCUGCCCGGUGCUGGAAGGUUAAGGGGAGAGGUUAGAGCGAUCGAAGCCUUGAACUUAAGCCCCAGUAAACGGCGGCCGUAACUAUAACGGUCCUAAGGUAGCGAAAUUCCUUGUCGGGUAAGUUCCGACCCGCACGAAAGGCGUAAUGAUUUGGGCACUGUCUCGACAAUGCACCCGGUGAAAUUGAAGUACCAGUGAAGAUGCUGGUUACCCGCGCCAGGACGGAAAGACCCCAUGGAGCUUUACUCCAGCUUGAUACUGGGAUCCGGUAUUGCAUGUACAGGAUAGGUGGGAGGCUAGGAAGCGGGGACGCCAGUCGCCGCGGAGCCGCUGUUGGGAUACCACCCUUGCAGUGCUGGGUUUCUAACCAGCAGCCGCGAACCGGCUGGGGGACAAUGUCAGGCGGGGAGUUUGACUGGGGCGGUCGCCUCCGAAAGGGUAUCGGAGGCGCUCAAAGGUCCUCUCAGAAUGGUCGGAAACCAUUCGCAGAGCGCAAAGGCAGAAGAGGGCUUGACUGCGACACCGACGGGUGGAGCAGGUACGAAAGUAGGACUUAGUGAUCCGGUGGUAUAAAGUGGGAUUGCCAUCGCUCAACGGAUAAAAGCUACCCUGGGGAUAACAGGCUUAUCACUCCCAAGAGUUCACAUCGACGGAGUGGUUUGGCACCUCGAUGUCGGCUCAUCGCAUCCUGGGGCUGAAGUAGGUCCCAAGGGUUGGGCUGUUCGNNNNNNNNNNNNNNNNNNNNNNNNNNNNNNNNNNNNNNNNNNNNNNNNNNNNNNNNNNNNNNNNNNNNNNNNNNNNNNNNNNNNNNNNNNNNNNNNNNNNNNNNNNNNNNNNNNNNNNNNNNGAUGACGCCAGUCGUCGCGGAGCCGCUGUUGGGAUACCACCCUUGCAGUGCUGGGUUUCUAACCAGCAGCCGUGAACCGGCUGGGGGACAAUGUCAGGCGGGGAGUUUGACUGGGGCGGUCGCCUCCGAAAGGGUAUCGGAGGCGCUCAAAGGUCCUCUCAGAAUGGUCGGAAACCAUUCGCAGAGCGCAAAGGCAGAAGAGGGCUUGACUGCGACACCGACGGGUGGAGCAGGUACGAAAGUAGGACUUAGUGAUCCGGUGGUAUAAAGUGGGAUUGCCAUCGCUCAACGGAUAAAAGCUACCCUGGGGAUAACAGGCUUAUCACUCCCAAGAGUUCACAUCGACGGAGUGGUUUGGCACCUCGAUGUCGGCUCAUCGCAUCCUGGGGCUGAAGUAGGUCCCAAGGGUUGGGCUGUUCGCCCAUUAAAGCGGUACGCGAGCUGGGUUCAGAACGUCGUGAGACAGUUCGGUCCCUAUCCGGCGCGGGCGUAGGAUAUUUGAGAGGAGCUGUCCUUAGUACGAGAGGACCGGGAUGGACUGGCCGCUGGUGGAUCUGUUGCGCCUCCAGGCGCAUGGCAGAGUAGCCAAGCCGGGACGGGAUAAACGCUGAAGGCAUCUAAGCGUGAAGCCCCCCUCGAGAUGAGAUAUCCCUGGCGUUAAGCCAGUAAGACCCCUUGAAGACGACGAGGUAGAUAGGAUAGAGGUGGAAGUGCAGCAAUGCAUGGAGCUGACUAUUACUAAUCGGUCGAGGGCAUGACCAG
rfam:Lachnospiraceae bacterium 5_1_57FAA genomic scaffold supercont1.9, whole genome shotgun sequence.